UACGUAGGUGGCAAGCGUUGUCCGGAUUUAUUGGGUUUAAAGGGUGCGUAGGCGGCUUUGUAAGUCAGUGGUGAAAUAUGGCAGCUCAACUGUCAAGGUGCCAUUGAUACUGCAGAGCUUGAGUGAAGUCGAGGUAGGCGGAAUUGACGGUGUAGCGGUGAAAUGCUUAGAUAUCGUCAAGAACACCGAUAGUGAAGACAGCUUACUAGACUUCAACUGACGCUGAGGCACGAAAGUGUGGGGAUCAAACAGG
rnacentral:rRNA from 1 species